GGCUGUGGCUCACUCUGUGGUAGAGCAUCUGCUUAGCAUGCAGAAGGUCCCAGGUUCAAUUCCUGGCAUAGCCA